AUUGGGUUGGCCCAGAAGUUCUUUAGGGUUUUUUUGUAACCCUAACAGCUAAUGGAAAAUCCCAAAUGAACUUUUGGGCCAACCCAA
rnacentral:miRNA from 1 species